UUUUUUUGAACAUUGUAAAAUACAGUUUUUCACUAUAUAACAAACAUUUCAAUACCAUUGGAUCUGAAAGACGAUCAAAAUGGGGGUUAAAACUUCCAUAUACUGCAUAUAAUGCAGUUUUGAUACAACCAUUACAAAUCUCUCUGCGUCAAAGUUCAAAAAAGUACAGCCGCCAAUACCCACAGCCAGUGCUGAUGUGGGUCAAGAGCUUGUAUGGGUAAAUAGACGAGACUGUAUGCAGUAUACUUCUAAUCAUAUAUUUCAAUUCAUUUAGCUUUUGAUGAGUCACUUGGAAGUUGUAAUUUUAAGCUCCUCCUAAGAAAAUCAGACAACUUUGCACUGGCAGCAUGCCCUCGCUCUAGACACUUGAGAUAUUCUUCCACUGACAUCAAACCAUGGGUGACAGAGGUGAUGAUCCCAUGUUCCACAGGUUCACCUUCCACAAGCAAUGACCCUUCCGGUAGAACAGAGUGAAUUGAGUUUGGGAAGACUAAAAAUGCAAAUCCCUUCAUUUUCUGUUCUUCCAAUUUGGUGGGAUCCAGUAUAACAUAUCCAUCUUCUGCCAAACAACAACAUAUUGCAACAGCAAGAUGCUUUAUAGGAAUUCCAGCAUCCACAAGGGCAGCACAUGCUGCAUUUAUGGCACAUGUCAGAAGAGCACCAUCAUCAUGAACAACCUGAACUAUAACUGAUGUGGUUGUAUUCGGGUUGAUAGUCAAAAUGCAUAUGCUCUGCAAAGUUCUCUUCAGUAUCAUCUCAUAUUCUUUUUCCAGUUUUCCAAUCUGUCCUGUUUUAGGCUUCCAAAUGACUUCAAUGCAGGCCUUCUCAGGGUUCUCAUUCUUCUUUGUUCCGGCUUUAGGUCCAUAAACAGCAGCUAGAACCUUUGUAUCUCCCUGAGACCAACUAGCAGAGCCAUGGGCACGGUGAAGGAUGUUACGGGAGGAAGCGAGAGGUCUCAGCUGGUUCGGCGUACGGCCAUCUGCCCUAUCAAUCUCCAUCAUUUCGCUCACACUCACAGAAGCCUACAAACUUUUUCUUCUUUAGGGAAUUGCGGUUUCUUACAAUCGAUGGAAAAUUCGCCACCGAAGAUGACUUAAGAAAUGGGGAAAUUAAUUAACAAAUGUAAAGGAUGCAAGCAAGCUGGGGAUGUUUCAAGUAG
rnacentral:misc_RNA from 1 species